UGUAUUUCUUUUGCUCAGAGUCCACAAUCUUAUACCUAAUUUUUAUGGGAAUUGGUUUGUUCUAUGUCAUAUAAUUAAUCGUAAAUUUUUAGGCUGCAGAGUUUCAGAGAAUUAGGUGAGUCUUUAAUGUAUUUCUCCUGCUGUUCCUAGAUAUUCUUUGUCUGCCCUUGUAUUGGCUGUGACUGGUUUUGGUAAACCAAGUAGCAGGCGGUUUUGGAUAUUGCCUUGGCACACAAAUUUGCCUAAAAAUGACAUUGGCAUUCUUUCUGCUUAAUUUUUAAGUGAGGGCACUGGACCAGGUGAUGUGUCGGUCCCUGCCAGCUGUGACGUGGUGACACUGCAGUGCGGGGCCUUUCCGUGCAUUUCUUUUUUUACGUUGGCUGUUACAGUAGGCCGCCUGGAUGUUGGUGUCGUCACCUCUAGAGGCCUCCAUAAAAUCCUAGGAGCAGCCCAGGCCUGCUGACCAAUGAGGAUUGUAGUCCCUGGUGAAGAAGUGCAGCUCUUGACCAGCUGGAUGCUGAGAUGACACCUCAGGAAGUCAGGACACCCACCUGCCCUGAGGCCCUUGCUGCCUGGCCACCCCUCAGACUACUUUCUGGGAGGAGGAACAGUGCUCAGCCAGUAGGAAACAGGAAGACGAGAGCUCCUGUCUGCAGUUUCGCUCCUGUCGUGGAUGUCAGGAGGACCGUGAAGAAAAGGGCAUCACAGAAUUGGGCAGCCCUCCGAACCAGGUUCAAAGAACUCCAUCUGCUACGUGGUCAGACAGCAUUUAUGGACAGAAAACGAAAAUGAGGCACAGAAAACGGAAGUGAGGUACAGAGACAGCUGGACGCUUGCCUCUUUGAACAUGGUUUGAACAGUUGGCCUUCUGUGAUUGACUGCAGUGCGGCUGCUGUGGUUGUCUGAGACUCUGCUAUUUGUUACGAAAGUACACAGUCAUGCUUCGGUUGACAAUGGGGAUACUUUCUGACAAGGGUAGUGUUAGGUGACUUCAUUGUUAGGCAGUUUCAUCACAUGAACAUCAUAGCAUGUACUUACACCAACUUGUCACUGUACAGCCUACUGCACACCCAGGGUAUAUGGUAUAGCCUGUCGCUCCCAGGCUGCAAACCUGUGCAGCAUGUCACUGUACUGAAUACUGUAGGUAAUUGUAACACGAUGAUGAUAAGUAUUUGUGUAGCUAAACAUAUUUAAACAGAUAAGGUACAGUAAAAAUACGGUACUAUAAUCAUACGGUACUACCAUCAUAAAUGCGUCCUGCUGUUGACUAAAACAUUGUUAUGUGGCACAUGACUGUACUCCUAAGUUAUGCUUUCAGUUAGUUUGCAUACUGAGCUGGUUGCAGCUCAUUACCUAAGAACUCUUGUACAGAGGCAUCCUCAAGCCAGGUGGAGUUUGAUUUUACACUGCUAGCCCACCUCAGGCCAGUGCCUCUGCAUGCCUGCGGGAGUCAGCUGUGUCCUCUGGGUGAGGGUUGUUGGGAGUGCAGAUUCCUGGGCUUCACAGACUGAAACUGCACCUGAAGCACUUCCCACCACCCUUACAUAAUUUUAGAGAUUACGAACUACCGUCUUAAUUCUUAGGCAUAGUUAAAAGUUAAGAAGUUUUUUAUUUGUUAAUAUUUGCAAGGCUGUAUCUCAGGAAUGAGGAGAAACUGCUUUUAUGUGUCUAAUGACCUUGGCUUGAAUCUUCCUGUUUUAAACCUGCAGAUCAAGUUUUAUGUCAAUAUAAGAAUAAUACUAUUUUUAAAAGACUUUGGAACUGUGGAAAUGAUUUAAAGUUUUUGAGUUUGGAAUUCUGCGAAUGUGUCUUCCAGGUUGCUGAGAGUAUCAGCAUGUGGUAUCACAGUUGUCCCUUGGGUUCUGGGACUCCCUUGGAUACGGAAAUCCACGGAUGCUUAAAUCCCUGAUUUAAAAUGGGAGUAAUAUUUGCAUAUAAUCUAUGCACAUCCUCCUGUAUACUUUAAAUGAUCUCUAGAUCCCUUAU